GGAGAGGUGGCAGAGUGGCCGAACGCGGCGGUCUUGAAAACCGUUGACCCAAAAGGUCCGUGAGUUCGAAUCUCACCCUCUCCGCCA
rnacentral:tRNA from 1 species